rnacentral:rRNA from 1 species
GAUCAUGGCUCAGAUUGAACGCUGGCGGAACGCUUUACACAUGCAAGUCGAACGGUAACGCAGGGAGAAGCUUGCUUCUCCCCGGCGACGAGUGGCGAACGGGUGAGUAAUACAUCGGAACGUGUCCGCUCGUGGGGGACAACCGAGCCGAAAGGUUGGCUAAUACCGCAUGAGUUCUACGGAAGAAAGAGGGGGACCCGCAAGGGCCUCUCGCGAGCGGAGCGGCCGAUGACUGAUUAGCCGGUUGGUGAGG